rnacentral:rRNA from 1 species
GAUGAACGCUGGCGGCGUGCCUAAUACAUGCAAGUCGAGCGAACAGAUGAGGAGCUUGCUCCUCUGACGUUAGCGGCGGACGGGUGAGUAACACGUGGAUAACCUACCUAUAAGACUGGGAUAACUUCGGGAAACCGGAGCUAAUACCGGAUAAUAUAUUGAACCGCAUGGUUCAAUAGUGAAAGACGGUUUUGCUGUCACUUAUAGAUGGAUCCGCGCCGCAUUAGCUAGUUGGUAAGGUAACGGCUUUCCAAGGCAACGAUGCGUAGCCGACCUGAGAGAGUGAUCGGCCACACUGGAACUGAGACACGGUCCAGACUCCUACGGGAGGCAGCAGUAGGGAAUCUUCCGCAAUGGGCGAAAGCCUGACGGAGCAACGCCGCGUGAGUGAUGAAGGUCUUCGGAUCGUAAAACUCUGUUAUUAGGGAAGAACAAAUGUGUAAGUAACUAUGCACGUCUUGACGGUACCUAAUCAGAAAGCCACGGCUAACUACGUG